CUUUCCUACGGGAGGCAGCAGUGGGGAAUAUUGCACAAUGGAGGAAACUCUGAUGCAGCGACGCCGCGUGAAGGAUGAAGGUUUUCGGAUCGUAAACUUCUAUCAGCAGGGAAGAUAGUGACUGUACCUGACUAAGAAGCCCCGGCUAACUACGUGCCAGCAGCCGCGGUAAUACGUAGGGGGCAAGCGUUAUCCGGAAUUACUGGGUGUAAAGGGUGCGUAGGCGGUUUAAUAAGUCAGAUGUGAAAGCCCGGGGCUCAACCCCGGGACUGCAUUUGAAACUGUUUAACUAGAAUACAGGAGAGGUAAGUGGAAUUCCUAGUGUAGCGGUGAAAUGCGUAGAUAUUAGGAGGAACACCAGUGGCGAAGGCGACUUACUGGACUGUUAUUGACGCUGAGGCACGAAAGCGUGGGGAGCAAACAGGAUUAGAUACCCUGGUAGUCCACKYMGWRRACGAUGAAUACUAGGUGUCGGGAGUCGAAUCUCGGUGCCGCAGCUAACGCAUUAAGUA
rnacentral:rRNA from 1 species